CCCCAACACCAUAUGUUCUCAGGUUUGGGAAAUUGAUGAAGGGAAGCACGACCCCGGUGCUGUGCUGCACACUCUGGGUUGGCCCUUGGAUCAAAAGACAUACGGGGGUUCAUUUUUGUACCACAUGAAAGAUAGACAGAUUUCUAUUGGCUUUGUGGUUGCUCUGAAUUAUCAUAACCCUUUCUUGAACCCUUAUGAAGAAUUCCAGAAAUUCAAACAUCAUCCUGCAAUCAAGCCACUGCUGGAAGGUGGGACUGUUCUUCAAUA